UACGUAGGCAGCAAGCGUUGUUCGGAGUUACUGGGCGUAAAGGGUGCGUAGGCGGCUUUUUAAGUUUGGUGUGAAAUCUCCCGGCUCAACUGGGAGGGUGCGCCGAAUACUGAGAGGCUAGAGUGUGGGAGAGGAAAGUGGAAUUCCUGGUGUAGCGGUGAAAUGCGUAGAUAUCGGGAGGAACACCAGUGGCGAAGGCGGCAUCCUGGCCCUGUCCUGACGCUCAGGGGCGAAAGCGUGGGGAGCAAACCGG
rnacentral:rRNA from 1 species